GACGAACGCUGGCGGCGUGCUUAACACAUGCAAGUCGAACGCUGAAGCUCAGCUCUUGUUGGGCGGAUGUGUGGCGAACGGGUGAGUAACACGUGUGUAACCUGCCUCUUUCUUUGGGAUAACGCUCGGAAACGGGUGCUCAUACUGGAUAUUAACUGGUCUUCGCAUGGGGGUUGGUGGAAAGGGCUUUCUUGGUGGGGGAUGGGCUUGCGGCCUAUCGGCUUGUUGGUGGGGUGAUGGCCUACCGAGGCUUUGACGGGUAGCCGGCGUGAGAGGGUGACCGGGCACAUUGAGACGGUGAUGCGGCCCAGACGCGUACGGGGGGCAGCAGUGGGGAAUAUUGCACAAUGGGCGCAAGCCUAAUGCAGCGACACCGCGUGAGGGAUGGGGACCUUCGGAUUGUGAACCUCUUUCGCUCAUUAUCAGGCCGCAACAAUGGUUAUGGUGAGGGUAGUGGGUAAGGAAGCGCCGGCUAACUACGUG
rnacentral:rRNA from 1 species